AGAUUGAACGCUGGCGGCAUGCCUUACACAUGCAAGUCGAACGGCAGCACAGGAGCAAUCCUGGUGGCGAGUGGCGAACGGGUGAGUAAUACAUCGGAACGUGCCCAGUUGUGGGGGAUAGCCCGGCGAAAGCCGGAUUAAUACCGCAUACGACCUACGGGUGAAAGCGGGGGAUCGCAAGACCUCGCGCUAUUGGAGCGGCCGAUGUCGGAUUAGCUUGUUGGUAGGUAAAAGCCUACCAAGGCUACGAUCCGUAGCUGGUCUGAGAGGACGACCAGCCACACGU
rnacentral:rRNA from 1 species